rnacentral:rRNA from 1 species
UACGAAGGGGGCUAGCGUUGUUCGGAAUUACUGGGCGUAAAGCGCACGUAGGCGGACCAUCAAGUUGGGGGUGAAAUCCCGGGGCUCAACCCCGGAACUGCCUCCAAAACUGCUGGUCUGGAGGUCGAGAGAGGUGAGUGGAAUUCCGAGUGUAGAGGUGAAAUUCGUAGAUAUUCGGAGGAACACCAGUGGCGAAGGCGGCUCACUGGCUCGAUACUGACGCUGAGGUGCGAAAGCGUGGGGAGCAAACAGG